rnacentral:lncRNA from 1 species
AAUUACUAUAAUGUGACGGUAUCCCUAUCAGAUUCAUAACAUGAUUAUCGGUAAUAGACGUCGAUAUUCUGAGCCCGUUUUUAGGGGAGCUACCCACUCUACAAUCUAUAGUACCGUAGUUGGAAUACCGGCCCCUCCGUAUUCUCGUGUCUACUCGACCGAUAACCAUAUUAAGAUUUUGACUUUCCUAUACUCGACCAUGCAAUACCAUAAAUGACAAAUCAUGCAACUCCAAUAAUAUAACCAUGUUAGAUCAAACUUGCACUUAGCAUAAAACGCGUAACCAUAUAACACAUAACCAAAUAGCUAACAAACGUAUUCAAACCAUUUUCUCCUUUAGAGUUUCUUCUUCAAAUAACUCACAUAAUCAAUUCAAAUUGCAUAAAUAAACAUUCUUAUAAUUCACAUAUAUUAUGCAACGUACACGUACCACAUACAAGAGGUAUCACAUACAAGAGAAGGGGAUUAUCAUAUUAUUUCAUAUAACCACUUUCAUAGUUAUAACAUACCAACGUGAUUAUCUUAAAUGCAUCAUUCAUGCGUUUUCUAGGUUAUACAUUUAUUUUAACAUAUAAGCAUACGAUAAUCAUAAUAGCACAUACGCACAU